GUUCUGAGAAGGUUAGUAAGCCGUCCAUGGCUUUAUAGCCCAAAAGGAGGGAAGCUAGCAUUUGAACCCCAGAAGUCUGGUCCCAGAGCCUAUGUUCUUCAUUAUGACAUGACAGAUGUCUCUAGGCUGGUUCAAAGCACAUGUUUUGAAAGCCAGCACUGCUUCUGUGGCCCAGGCCCAGUUCCCAACAUGGAACCACACCACUCCUCUGUUAAUAGCCAUGUGGUGAUGGCUUACAUCAAAGAACUGGAAGGACUUACAACUAUACACAACUAGGAAGAAGCAAACACUGUCCCUGUCAAAUGAAAAAUGAGGCAGAAUUGGUGACGUGCAUGUUUGUCAACAUAAGCAAGAUCAAAUGAUUGCUCAGCAGGAAGAAGCCAUGGGAAAUCCAAUGAUUUUUGACUAAUUAGCAAAAUAA
rnacentral:lncRNA from 1 species